rnacentral:rRNA from 1 species
AUUGAACGCUGGCGGCAGGCCUAACACAUGCAAGUCGAACGAGUGGCGGACGGGUGAGUAAUGUCUGGGAAACUGCCCGAUGGAGGGGGCUCACUACUGGAAACGGUAGCUAAUACCGCAUACUAUCGGAUGAACCCAUAUGGGAUUAGCUAGUAGGUGGGGUAACGGCUCACCUAGUCGAAGAUCCCUAGCUGGUCGGAGAGGAUGACCAGCCACACUGGAACUGAGACACGGUCCAGACUCCUACGGGAGGCAGCAGUGGGGAAUAUUGCACGAUGGGCGCAAGCCUGAUGCAGCCAUGCCGCGUGUAUGAAGAAGGCCUUCGGGUUGUAAAGUACUUUCAGCGAGGAGGCGUUACUCGCAGAAGAAGCACCGGCUAACUCCGUGCCAGCCGCCGCGGUAAUAC